rnacentral:rRNA from 1 species
ACAGAGGUGGCAAGCGUUGUUCGGAAUUAUUGGGCGUAAAGAGCACGUAGGCGGCCAUGCAAGUCAGCUGUGAAUGCCUUCUGCUCAACGGAAGAACGGCAGUUGAUACUACAUGGCUGGAGUGCGGGAGGGGAGAGUGGAACUUCUGGUGGAGCGGUGAAGUGCGUAGAUAUCAGAAGGAACGUCGGCGGCGAAAGCGACUCUCUAGACCGUAACUGACGCUGAGUGUGCGAAAGCUAGGGGAGCAAACGG